rnacentral:lncRNA from 1 species
CCUUAAACAAAUAUAUACUAGUCCAGUGAUAAUGAACGCCAUACUAAUUUCCAAAUUGUACACAAGAAACUAAAAUUAAAAUAAUACAAGACUAACAAAGGUCAGAGGCUCCUGACUUGGGACAGGGCGCAAAAAUGCGGCGGGGUUAAACAUGUUUGUGAGAUCUCAACCCUCCCCCUAUACCUCUAACCAAUGUAGUAAAGUAAACGCAUAACAAUACGCACAUUA